GCCUAGGAAUCUGCCUGGUAGUGGGGGACAACGUUUCGAAAGGAACGCUAAUACCGCAUACGUCCUACGGGAGAAAGCAGGGGACCUUCGGGCCUUGCGCUAUCAGAUGAGCCUAGGUCGGAUUAGCUAGUUGGUGAGGUAAUGGCUCACCAAGGCGACGAUCCGUAACUGGUCUGAGAGGAUGAUCAGUCACACUGGAACUGAGACACGGUCCAGACUCCUACGGGAGGCAGCAGUGGGGAAUAUUGGACAAUGGGCGAAAGCCUGAUCCAGCCAUGCCGCGUGUGUGAAGAAGGUCUUCGGAUUGUAAAGCACUUUAAGUUGGGAGGAAGGGUUGUAGAUUAAUACUCUGCAAUUUUGACGUUACCGACAGAAUAAGCACCGGCUAACUCUGUGCCAGCAGCCGC
rnacentral:rRNA from 1 species